GGGGGUUAGCCUCCUGGGGGUCAGCCCCCAGUGGGGUCAGCCUCCUGGGGUCAGCCUCCUGGGGGUCAGCCUCCUGGGGUCAGCCUCCUGAGGGUCAUGGGCAGGCCCAUAGCAGCCCUUCUCAGCCUGGCAGGCUCUGUGCCCACCUGCUCCCGCUGCCGCCGCCUCUGAAUAGCUGCCCGCACGGCCCACAGUGCUGAGUCCAGGGCGACCGGGGAGCGGGCUGGGGGCGAGGACUCAGCCGUCAGGGGGGACCCAGCAUGUGGGGGGCUCUCGCCUUCAGCACCGCUGCUCUUCACCAUCUCCUCGCUCCCCGCGUCUGCCUGGGCCACCUUCAGGGCGCAGAGAGGACAGAGCCCAGGGCUCAGGUCACACAGGUCCUUCCAGACCAUCUCCCAGACCAGCCUGAACCACAGGGGCCCUGUAGCCCAUCGGCUGUCCGUGUGGGAAGGACCCAGCCGGGCCUGCACCUGUGUGAUGCUGUCCAAGAGGAGCCGCAGGGUCUCCACCUCCGCUCUCAAGUCCCCCGGGGCUGCCGGGCCUCCUCCGCUGUGCUGGGACUCCUGGGGGGACGGGGGUCGGGGGCUGCUCAGCGAGGCCCAGGCCCCGACCGCCAGCCGCCCCCUCCCAGCCGCGCACCAGUCUCUGCGCGUCGGUUCUCAGGGAAGAGAUGGCUCUCUCGCUCGCAUUUUGCUCGGAACCAGCUUCUUCUCUGACCCCGGGCCUCCCUUGGGCCUCCCUAGACCCAGAGCCCUGGGCGCCCACACACCUGGCCUGGAGGGCCGCCUUCUCCGCGGCCCAGCGGCCCUGCAGCUGCAGCGUCUCCCGCAUCUUGUCCCGCAGCUGCUGCUCCAGGGCAGCGGCCGUGCUGCCGGCCGUCAGCCGCAGGUUGGAGCCGAGGUUCAGGCAGGCCGUGUGCAGGCGCCGGGCCAUCCUGGCCACGUCUGCCCGCAGGUCAGCAAGGCCCCUGCGAGACCAGGGCACACCCGGCUGAGCCUCGGGGGUGUCUGUGGCCUCAGCCUGGGGGCUGCCCGCCGGCUGGGCCAGGCGGGGUCUGGUCUCAGGCCAGAGGUCUGC
rnacentral:lncRNA from 1 species